GGAGGGUUGGCCGAGUUGGUCUAAGGCGGCAGACUUAAGUUGUUUAACAAUUCGAGUUAUCUGCUGGUGUGUUCACCGCGCGAGUUCGAAUCUCGCAUCCUUCA
rfam:Candida tropicalis MYA-3404 genomic scaffold supercont3.2, whole genome shotgun sequence.